UAUCGUCCUUAUGGUUAACUCAACUGCGUUUUUCUAGGCUACUUUUGGACUAAAGAAAAUCAGUUCGUGUUGUAGGCCUACGACUUUCGACGCUUCAGUUAAAGCUGCUUCGAGAGGACCUCAACGCUUACGGCUCUCCGAAACCAGAUGCCUUAUCCUUCAGCAGAUCAAGACACAGAUGACAACUCCAACUUCCUGUGGACACAUCAGAUACUGAGCUGCUGUGAAGUGAUCUUACCCUCAGGUGGCUGAGUCAUUGGAGGCUUGAGGCAGUACAUGUGGUAUCCCCGAUCACAGUCGUCACAGAACAGAAGCUGAUCCUAUAAGAUUUUAAACACUCACAUCGUUCUCUGAGGUGCCACACAGACUGCAGGAUUUACACUCGAUGCACUGCCACUGGGAGGUGUCAGUUCCUCGGCCUGCUCAUUUCCUCAAUGAGACUGUGAGAACAGCAGGCUCCUCUUGCUUGGAUGCUCAGUAAAGCAUGUGCAGUCUUCCCAGUUUGGAAAGCAUGUGGGGUCUUGGCUUGAAGUCGGA